rnacentral:rRNA from 1 species
GACGAACGCUGGCGGCGUGCUUAACACAUGCAAGUCGAACGGAAAGGCCCUGCUUUUGUGGGGUGCUCGAGUGGCGAACGGGUGAGUAACACGUGAGUAACCUGCCCUUGACUUUGGGAUAACUUCAGGAAACUGGGGCUACUACCGGAUAGGAGCUCCUGCUGCAUGGUGGGGGUUGGAAAGUUUCGGCGGUUGGGGAUGGACUCGCGGCUUAUCAGCUUGUUGGUGGGGUAGUGGCUUACCAAGGCUUUGACGGGUAGCCGGCCUGAGAGGGUGACCGGCCACAUUGGGACUGAGGUACGGCCCAGACGCCUACGGGAGGCAGCAGUGGGGAAUAUUGCACAAUGGGCGGAAGCCGGAUGCAGCAACGCCGCGGUCGGAAUGACGGCCUGCGGGUUGUAAACCGCUUUCGCUUGUUACGAAGCGGUAGUGACGGUAAUGGAUAAAGAAGCACCGGCUAACUACGUG